rnacentral:rRNA from 1 species
UUGAACGCUGGCGGUAUGCUUAACACAUGCAAGUCGAACGGAAACGAUACUAGCUUGCUAGUAGGCGUCGAGUGGCGGACGGGUGAGUAACGCGUAGGAAUCUGCCUGAUAGUGGGGGAUAGCCCGAAGAAAUUCGGAUUAAUACCGCAUAAUCUAUUCGUAGUAAAGUGGGGGACUUUCGAGCCUCACGCUAUCAGAUGAGCCUGCGUAAGAUUAGCUUGUUGGUAGGGUAAAAGCCUACCAAGGCGACGAUCUUUAGCUGGUCUGAGAGGAUGAUCAGCCACAUCGGGACUGAGACACGGCCCGAACUCCUACGGGAGGCAGCAGUGGGGAAUAUUGGACAAUGGGGGCAACCCUGAUCCAGCAAUACCGCGUGUGUGAAGAAGGCCUGAGGGUUGUAAAGCACUUUCAAUUGUGAAGAAAAGUUAGCGGUUAAUAACCGUUAGCCUUGACGUUAACUUUAGAAGAAGCACCGGCUAACUCCGUGCCAGCAGCCGCGGUAAUACGGAGGGUGCAAGCGUUAAUCGGAAUUACUGGGCGUAAAGCGUGCGUAGGUGGUUUAUUAAGUCAGAUGUGAAAGCCCCGGGCUUAACCUGGGAACUGCAUUUGAAACUGGUCAACUAGAGUAUGGUAGAGGAAAGUGGAAUUUCUGGUGUAGCGGUGAAAUGCGUAGAUAUCAGAAGGAACAUCAAUGGCGAAGGCAGCUUUCUGGACCAAUACUGACACUGAGGUACGAAAGCGUGGGUAGCAAACAGGAUUAGAUACCCUGGUAGUCCACGCCGUAAACGAUGAUAACUAGCCGUUGGGGGGAUUUACCCUUUAGUGGCGAAGCUAACGCGUUAAGUUAUCCGCCUGGGGAGUACGGCCGCAAGGUUAAAACUCAAAGGAAUUGACGGGGACCCGCACAAGCGGUGGAGCAUGUGGUUUAAUUCGAUGCAACGCGAAGAACCUUACCUGGUCUUGACAUCCUGCGAACUUUCUAGAAAUAGAUUGGUGCCUUCGGGAACGCAGUGACAGGUGCUGCAUGGCUGUCGUCAGCUCGUGUCGUGAGAUGUUGGGUUAAGUCCCGUAACGAGCGCAACCCCUAUCCUUAUUUGCCAGCACAUCAUGGUGGGAACUAUAAGGAGACUGCCGGUGAUAAACCGGAGGAAGGCGGGGACGACGUCAAGUCAUCAUGGCCCUUACGACCAGGGCUACACACGUGCUACAAUGGGAAGGACAAAGAGCCGCGAAGCCGCGAGGUGUAGCUAAUCUCAUAAACCUUUUCGUAGUCCGGAUUGGAGUCUGCAACUCGACUCCAUGAAGUCGGAAUCGCUAGUAAUCGUAGAUCAGAAUGCUACGGUGAAUACGUUCCCGGGUCUUGUACACACCGC